AUGAUAGCUUAAAUGUAAUUUUCAGGUUCGGCGUACCUCUGGAUACUUGUUAGAAGGCAUCUGGUGGGGGAGUACUGUUGCCUUCCGACCUUGCUUAUGAAUAUCACAAAAGCUGGCUGGAUGUCCACAAGCAGUGCUGGAGUAGAUGGACCCUUCGUCUUAUCUAACAGGGGUGUCCUGUGCUCAGGGGUGCAGCUAGGUAACCUUAGACCCUGGACUUACUGGUCUUACAGGUGAGUAGAGUCUGCAUCUGGUAAGAGUAUUAAUAUGGCAUGUGGGAGGAAGUAGCAGACAUUUAAAGUGGGCUCUGUUAGGUGCUACACAGUUUUCAAAUUUCAUACCAUGGCCAAUUCCACAUCUCUAGAAUAUAAAACUCUAUAGUUAUUCAGGUUUGUCUUCAUCCUUGGGUGAAACACAUUGUUCCUUGAUAGGAAGAAAACACAGGAAAUGAUGCAGUUUUUAGAUGAACAAAGCUGAAUAUUAGUUUUAGGUGGUAUGCUAGCCUAAUGAAGAGUUCUAGAGAACUUGAAAGCUUGCAUACUAUCUUGUGAC
rnacentral:lncRNA from 1 species